rnacentral:lncRNA from 1 species
AUGUGUGCAAACGCGGGAGGGCUUAACCAUAGAAUCAGCAGAGAGCACCAGUCCCCAAAACACAGCUGUCAGAGACACACACAGCCCUUCCACCCGCCGGCUUGUCACGGAGUGUUUCUCCCUCCCCCAAGCGUUACAUGUCAGAUUACUAUCAGAGCUCAGAGCAAGGCCAAGAUUUCAGGAGAGAAACUGAUACCAGGCAUUCUCAGCAUAGUAAAUACAACCCUGGGUGGGGGCGGGGCAGGGGGUUGGGGGGCCCUGCACUCCCCGGCAGAAGCUGCUCCCAACCGCUUCCCCAACACACUAUUCCAGACCCUUGAACGCUUCCUCCACAGUGUCCCCUCCGACACCACCGGCAGUGUGGCCCCUGGAGAAAGGAAGCCCCCUCCACAGAUGGCGCGAGGCUCCCAGGCGGCGGACUGGGGGCUGCCCGGAGGCGGCACUCACCGUGCAGCAGGGCAUGGGGGCGAGGCUGGGGUCCCUCCUCCGGCCGGUCCUGUGCCUGCUCUGCUCUGCUGCCUGUCUGGGUGGGCUGUGCCUGAGGCACGACCACUCCCCUCCCAGGCCGACGGGCUGCUCCAGACGGAGUAUCCAAGACUCUCCCGGCACAGGCGGGUAUUUCGGGAGAGCAGGUCAGGCUGGGGAUGGGGGUGGGGGUCACUGCAGGCGACAGUGGCUCUCACGGCGUGCCCAGGAGACUCGCAUCCCAGCUGCACCCACAACUGCCUCUCCGUACGCUCGCCUGGGGCUGCCAGCUGUCCCCCCCGCAGGACCUGCUGCUGCUGCAGCCGCCUUCUGGGCGUUAGGCGGACCUGGCUGCGUCCGCUGCAGUCCAGGAGUUGUGCGCGCUGCUGUUACCUAACACCUCGGAACGGCUCCGUCUCCGUAGCGGGCUCGCUUAGGGAUUGCAGUGGGAAGCAAAGGCUGCAUGGAGAAACACGUGCAGGGAAGACCCGCUGACAGGGCACGGCACCGCAGGACCGCCCAUGGCCUCUCACCUCAAGGAGAGGUGCGGCAGAGCACAGAGACGGUGGGUGGGCGGCAGCCUGGGGUCCCACAGCGAGUUAGCUGCCUCCCCAGUUCAGGCUGACUAGAAUUAUUCCCCAUCGCCUGGGUACUCGGGUCCCUCCAUGUCCAGCCCCCUCUGCCCCCCCCACCCACAGUCCCCAUGUUCACCCUUCCCCAGGGAAUGCCUGUAGCUUCUAGCAAGUGUCUUUUGGGAGGCAAGAGCACUGAGGCUGGGCCCAGGAAACUGCAGGCACCCAACACCCAACACACAGGAGAUCCUGGAGGCUGCAGGCACCCAACACACAGGUGAUCCCGGAGGCUACAGGCACCCAACACACAGGUGAUCCCGGAGGCUACAGGCACCCAACACACAGGUGAUCCCGGAGGCUGCCCAUGGGCGGGGGUGCGGGAAAGCAAGUGGACACGUGGUCUCAGAGCCCUCUCCCUUGUACCUGGAAUGUGUCAGCUGAACCAUACCUGGCCUCUGCUGUGGGCAUCUCUGCCUCCUGUGCACCAGUGAGGGGCAGGGCCAGCCUCUCCUUUGCACAGCUAGAUCUCCUGCUGGCCCAGAUGCCAGGUGACCACCUCAGCGUGCUGUGGGAAGUGGCCACAGCCACAGGAGCCGGGGCUGCAGGGGGUUCCAAGAGGGGUGCAUAGCGUGGCCACCCCCCCUCUGCCAGGCACCAUCCUGUGAACAUUGUGUGAACACAGUGCUCAGACCACUCCUGCGCCCAUCAAGGAGGGAGCAAAAGGCCUUGGAGGCCACGGCCUGGGUUUUGCCACUGGCUGGCAAGGCCACUCAGCUGCCCUGUGCUGACCUCAUGAGGAUCAGGGGAGGCGAUUUCUGUAUAGCCCAGUUCGUGGCCUGUAGUCAGGCUCAACAAGCACACGGUGACAUGGUGACACGCUUUCUCUCAUUCGGUCUCACAGAACACUGCCUGCCAUUCACCCGGUUCCCCAUUUGACAGAUGUGGACACCAAGUCUCGGUGUGGCUCACUGACUGGUCCCAGGUCCCUGAGGAAGGGUGGUUUGGGGGAUGGCGAGCUUCACACCCCGAGUGCACCUGAGCUGGGACAGCUAAGGCAGAAGGAGGCUGCUCUGUGGGGCUGGAUGUGGGGAGGAGGAUGGAGUACAGGUGAGGGGCUUGUACAUGUAAUCAUCUGUCCUUUCCAUUUUCAUCUUGUCCAUCUUGGGGAACCCUGGCAUUCCAGGACAUUCUGCACUCACUGGCCAGGGCCAGGGGCUCCCCACAUCAGUCACCGAGAGCACCUACGUCCCUGCACGGCCUCUCCCCUGUCUGGCCCCAGUAGAGAACCCUGACAGGACAGACUUCCUGUGCACUAAUAGAAGCCAGAGGGGCCAGCUAGAAGCUUCCAGAUGCCACCGACUUUACCAAGCAGAGUGUGGGUCAUUGCCAGCAUCCUGCCCACUGAUAAGGAAACAAGGUGGUCGGGGGAACCACCCAGUGGUAACCUGUCUGGGCAGGUCUGAGGGACAGGGGAUUGGACCACCGCACACACAGCACAGCUGCCCCAUCCUGCGCCUUUUCAUACCCACUGCAACCAUGGGAACUCUGUGGCAGGUCCUGGGGCCGGGAGCUGCUUGCAGUGUGGCUUUCUCCAGGGCUCGCUGGCCCUGAGAUCCAGAGUUGGAAGUUCUUGCAAUGGACUUUGGCCAGUGUCCUCCAUGGUUCGAUGGACACAGAGGAUGCAUUUAGUUUAUC